rnacentral:rRNA from 1 species
UACGUAGGGCGCAAGCGUUGUCCGGAAUUAUUGGGCGUAAAGAGCUCGUAGGCGGCCUGUUGCGUCCGCUGUGAAAUCCCGGGGCUUAACCCCGGACGUGCAGUGGAUACGGGCAGGCUGGAGGCAGGCAGGGGAGAACGGAAUUCCCGGUGUAGCGGUGAAAUGCGCAGAUAUCGGGAGGAACACCGGUGGCGAAGGCGGUUCUCUGGGCCUGUACUGACGCUGAGGAGCGAAAGCGUGGGGAGCGAACAGG